GCCCCCAUGUGCUCCCAGAGCAGCCCGGGCUUCCCUAUCCAGCUGGCACACUUUUAUUUAAUUUUCUCCAUCCACUAUACCCGUUAUCUCUAAGUCCGAACUCCACUUGUUUCACUAUUUUUUCCCCACAGAAAAAAAAUCCGAUCUUUGAAUGAGUCUGGAUUAUGGAAUUGGUUUCCUCGCUGGGCAGAGCGAGAGGAAGACCUGCGGGAGGGCCCUUUCCCGUCCAUCUCCACCUGCUUUUAAGCGUUUUCGGGCACUGGAGCUCCCAAGUCCAUCAGAUUUCUGCAAAGGAAAAAGGAAUAAAAAUGUCAUCUGUCAUUCUUGACAGCAGUGCUAUGCUGAAUGGCCUAACUAAAAAAUGCCUUAGUUGUCAUGUUUGAGGUAUUCUUCAUUUGCAACCCCACCUCCCCGGCACUACGCAAUAUCCUCUCUAUAACUACCUCCCUCUUUCCUUCCCAACAUCUGAGUCUGGAUACAACUGCAAAUAGAUAAAAACAGACAGGUGAUUAGCAUACAUAUUGAUCUAGGCAGAGAAUUCACAGAAGUGAAAUAUGGCAAAAAAUAAAAUGGAACAGAUUUGGG